AUUGAACGCUGGCGGCAUGCCUUACACAUGCAAGUCGAACGGCAGCACGGGAGCUUGCUCCUGGUGGCGAGUGGCGAACGGGUGAGUAAUACAUCGGAACGUACCCUGAAGUGGGGGAUAACGUAGCGAAAGUUACGCUAAUACCGCAUAUUCUGUGAGCAGGAAAGAGGGGGAGUCGCAAGACCUCUUGCUUUAGGAGCGGCCGAUGUCGGAUUAGCUAGUUGGUGAGGUAAAGGCUCACCAAGGCGACGAUCCGUAGCGGGUCUGAGAGGAUGAUCCGCCACACUGGGACUGAGACACGGCCCAGACUCCUACGGGAGGCAGCAGUGGGGGAAUUUUGGACAAUGGGCGCAAGCCUGAUCCAGCCAUGCCGCGUGAGUGAAGAAGGCCU
rnacentral:rRNA from 1 species